rnacentral:rRNA from 1 species
UACGAAGGGGGCUAGCGUUGUUCGGAUUUACUGGGCGUAAAGCGCACGUAAGCGGGUUCUUAAGUCAGGGGUGAAAUCCCGAGGCUCAACCUCGGAACUGCCUUUGAUACUGGGAAUCUUGAGUUCGGGAGAGGUGAGUGGAAUUGCGAGUGUAGAGGUGAAAUUCGUAGAUAUUCGGAAGAACACCAGUGGCGAAGGCGGCUCACUGGACUGGUAUUGACGCUGAUGUGCGAAAGCGUGGGGAGCAAACAGG